GAUGAACGCUGGAGGCGUGCCUAAUACAUGCAAGUCGAGCGAACAGAUAAGGAGCUUGCUCCUUUGACGUUAGCGGCGGACGGGUGAGUAACACGUGGGUAACCUACCUAUAAGACUGGGAUAACUUCGGGAAACCGGAGCUAAUACCGGAUAACAUUUGGAACCGCAUGGUUCUAAAGUGAAAGAUGGUUUUGCUAUCACUUAUAGAUGGACCCGCGCCGUAUUAGCUAGUUGGUAAGGUAACGGCUUACCAAGGCAACGAUACGUAGCCGACCUGAGAGGGUGAUCGGCCACACUGGAACUGAGACACGGUCCAGACUCCUACGGGAGGCAGCAGUAGGGAAUCUUCCGCAAUGGGCGAAAGCCUGACGGAGCAACGCCGCGUGAGUGAUGAAGGGUUUCGGCUCGUAAAACUCUGUUAUUAGGGAAGAACAAACGUGUAAGUAACUGUGCACGUCUUGACGGUACCUAAUCAGAAAGCCACGGCUAACUACGUG
rnacentral:rRNA from 1 species